GCCUAUGGUGUUCGGGUAAAGAGCUGUGAAGUGUCUCAGCCAACUGAUGUAUAUCUAACACUUUACGACAAUCUGAGCAAUUAAGUGUGUUUCAGCUAACUUUGGUCUACCUGAGCUGCCUAGUGUUUUCAGCUAUCAUUUGCAAUCCUGAGACUUGAGUGUAAUCUGAGCAGUUUUCCAGUUAAUUUAAGUUUUAUUUGUUCACAUCAGUUAUUCUAUUUUGUUGCCUUAAUUUUCUUGUUACUCUAAGUCUUUUCUUUGUAGUUUUGUAGGGAGGUGGAUGCCUUUUUUUAUUUAAGAACUACAUUUUCUCCUGUGUUUAUGUAGAAAGGGAGUUGGGGAAUUGUUUGUAUAUAUUUAUUUAAUUUUCUUUUGAUAGGUAAGUUAUCCCUUAACUUUAGUAAGAAUGUCCUUUUGUUUGUUAUUUUGGCCUCUCCCCUCCUGAAGUUUUUUGUUAAUUCCUACCAUUUGUUUAAUAAAUCUUGUUGUUUUUGAAUUUUGUAUUAUUAAGCAUUACUGUAUCUGCCCUGGGACCUGGAGAUGGCAGUUCUCUCCACGCUAUUUUUGUUACAAUCCUCUUCCCACCCCUAGAUUAAAAGGGGGCUCGUAACACCUGGCUCUAGUUCCGCUCCUGGCACAACACCCACGGAGAGUCUACCUGAGGAACACCUAGCAGCCAUCAUUUCUAUGGGCUUCAGUCGAGACCAGGCCACUCGUGCUCUCAGAGCUAUGAGUAUGAGCUUUUUGCGUUCAUCAGUCACAUGGGAUCGAGCACAAUGUGUGGUCAUUAUGUCUGCCACAUCAAGAAGGACCAACAGUGGGUAAUCUUUAACAAUCAGAAAGUUUGUGCCUCUGAGAAACCACCUAAGGACCUGGGCUAC